UUGUGAUCCUGGGAGAUCUCAAAUUUUCACACAGCAUGUGGAAUUGUCUCAAGUGUUUGUGUGGAUUCUCCCUUGAUAACCCAUUGAACUUUGGUAAGGCAUUUAGUAGGUCAGGUCUCAACUCCCACUCCUCAUUAGGGUAUUCAAUGUUACUUUGGGUAACUGUAUUGUGGGAGGUGGCUAAUUGUCUAAUGGUUCUCUGUGCCAUUCUGUUUGGGUUAGGAUCAGGUAAGGGAAUGGAUGGUAUGUUUGUGACUGGAGAUGAUAAAAGUGGUGUGGCUUCAGAUGUAGGAAGUGUUCCCUCAGUAGAACACACAAUUUUCAAA
rnacentral:lncRNA from 1 species